GAUGAAGAACGUAGCGAAAUGCGAUAAGUAAUGUGAAUUGCAGAAUUCAGUGAAUCAUCGAAUCUUUGAACGCACAUUGCGCCCGCCAGUAUUCUGGCGGGCAUGCCUGUUCGAGCGUCAUUUCAACCAUCAAGCCCCAGGCUUGUGUUGGGGACCUGCGGCUGCCGCAGGCCCUGAAAACCAGUGGCGGGCUCGCUAGUCACACCGAGCGUAGUAGCAUACACAUCGCUCAGGGCGUGCUGCGGGUUCCGGCCGUUAAACCCCUUUUUUACCCAAGGUUGACCUCGGAUCAGGUUGGAAGACCCGCUGAACUUAAGCAUAUCAAUAAGCGGAGGA
rnacentral:misc_RNA from 1 species